ensembl:lncRNA
GGAUCACUGAGUUAUAUAUCCCCAGCACUUUUAAAAUUUUAUGUUGAGACAGGCUCUUGCCAAGGUGCCCAGGCUGGCCCUUGAACUUACCUUCCUGACUCAGCCUCCAGAAGAGCUGGGAUUACAGGUGUGUGCCACCAUACCUGGUUGAAGGAACAUACUUUGUAUGGCCUAGUUGGUACCUGAGCUAGUACACCUGAUUCAUGUACCAUUCUUUAAUGAUCUUAUUUCCUCACCUGUUCCCUGCCACUACAGUGUAAAGCUGACAGGAUGAAAGAAAAAGUCCAUUUGGAAGAAUUAAGAUAGUACUAUAACUCCAGGGCUAUAGGUGGAAAGAUUGCCAUUAAAAAGUGUUAUAUCAGUGAGGAAAUCACUGAAUUAACAAAUGCCUACCUAUAUGAUUUAGAAAUGAACAUCAGUGUUGAAAACGUGCAGUGGAAUAUUAACUGCUUCCAAUAGCAAUAAAAAUAUUACAUUGAUUCUUAACAUUCUGAAGGUCCAGUAUAUAUAAUAUUAAACCCAACUUGCAAGAAUACAACUAUCCACUUGACCACACAUGCCAGCUGCUACAGUGAAGCUGAGCCAUUGUUUCUAGAAAGAAUAUGGUAAAUAACUUUUCUGUCAUUUAGGAAAUGACAGCAUAACAUCACACUGCAUAUUGAGUAAGCAUAAAUAAAUGAUGAAUACUAUAAAAUGUGUUUUUGUAAGAGAAAAAAAGGAUGUAAUUCACUCUGCACUAGGCAAAGAAUUUGCACCUGUAUUUGGGAGUAAGAAUCCAGGAAAAGGGAAAUAUGUCAAUACCAUAACGUACAAAGUUAGUGCCAGCAGUAUAUAGGGGAUUUGCUGGUAUGUCUAUGUUUCAUGUAAAGCAAAUUUAGGAAAAUAAAAGUAAAUGUGGCUUUGAAACUGCCAAGUCCCUUCUUUGAAUGCACAUGUGUAUGAUAACAAGGCCACUUAAAACAGAUUUUUUUUAAAGGUAGCAAGGUGAAUGCUCUAAAUUAUAAAUGCUACUGAACAUUUGACUCUAAAUAUGAAUUAUUUGAUUAGAGUCCUAGUACAAAAGCUGUAGAUCUUGGCUUCCUAUUAAUUUUCUCUAAAGACCCAAGGGAAUUUUCAGAGACAUACAAUGUCAGUAGCCUGUCAUAUCUUGUAAUAAAUGGCUGGUUUGUGUGGUUA